rnacentral:miRNA from 1 species
CGGCCCCCUCUGACCUCGUCCUCCCUGAGGGAUCCUGUACUGAGCUGCCCCGAGGUUCUUCAUUGCACCCGGCUCGGGGCAGCUCAGUACAGGAUGCGUCGGGGCGGGAGUCGGCAGGAAGCGAG